CAGCAGCCACGGGAAUACAGAGGGUGCGAGCGUUAAUCGGAUUUACUGGGCGUAAAGCGUGCGUAGGCGGCUUCUUAAGUCGGAUGUGAAAUCCCUGAGCUUAACUUAGGAAUUGCAUUCGAUACUGGGAAGCUAGAGUAUGGGAGAGGAUGGUAGAAUUCCAGGUGUAGCGGUGAAAUGCGUAGAGAUCUGGAGGAAUACCGAUGGCGAAGGCAGCCAUCUGGCCUAAUACUGACGCUGAGGUACGAAAGCAUGGGAGCAAACAGGAUUAGAUACCCCCGUAGUCCCUGUCUCUUAUACA
rnacentral:rRNA from 1 species